rnacentral:rRNA from 1 species
GAUGAACGCUGGCGGCGUGCCUAAUACAUGCAAGUCGAGCGAACAGACGAGGAGCUUGCUCCUCUGACGUUAGCGGCGGACGGGUGAGUAACACGUGGAUAACCUACCUAUAAGACUGGGAUAACUUCGGGAAACCGGAGCUAAUACCGGAUAAUAUAUUGAACCGCAUGGUUCAAUAGUGAAAGACGGUUUUGCUGUCACUUAUAGAUGGAUCCGCGCCGCAUUAGCUAGUUGGUAAGGUAACGGCUUACCAAGGCAACGAUGCGUAGCCGACCUGAGAGGGUGAUCGGCCACACUGGAACUGAGACACGGUCCAGACUCCUACGGGAGGCAGCAGUAGGGAAUCUUCCGCAAUGGGCGAAAGCCUGACGGAGCAACGCCGCGUGAGUGAAGAAGGUCUUCGGAUCGUAAAACUCUGUUAGUAGGGAAGAACAAAUGUGUAAGUAAAUAUGCACGUCUUGACGGUACCUAAUCAGAAAGCCACGGCUAACUACGUG